rnacentral:lncRNA from 1 species
UGAAGGCAAUUUUUGGUUCACAAGAUCUAUGAGAAAUUGUGACCAAAGGCUAUGGAGAGCGCGAAGAUGAAGAUUCGUUAUCACAGCACAAAAGGAAGCUUUGAGUGCCACAAGAAAGAAAGAUCAAAAAGCAGUCAUUAUCAUUCAUCAAUGUUUGGAUGAUGCAAUUGUAAGACCCCGAAUUUUAUGAAAUAAAAGUAUUCAAUUUUUC